CCUACGGGUGGCAGCAGUCGAGAAUCAUUCACAAUGGGGGAAACCCUGAUGGUGCGACGCCGCGUGGGGGAAUGAAGGUCUUCGGAUUGUAAACCCCUGUCAUGUGGGAGCAAAUUAAAAAGAUAGUACCACACGAGGAAGAGACGGCUAACUCUGUGCCAGCAGCCGCGGUAAUACAGAGGUCUCAAGCGUUGUUCGGAAUCACUGGGCGUAAAGCGUGCGUAGGCUGUUUCGUAAGUCGUGUGUGAAAGGCGCGGGCUCAACCCGCGGACGGCACAUGAUACUGCGAGACUAGAGUAAUGGAGGGGGAAGCGGAAUUGUUGGUGUAGCAGUGAAAUGCGUAGAUAUCGAGAGGAACACUCGUGGCGAAGGCGGGUUCCUGGACAUUAACUGACGCUGAUGCACGAAGGCCAGGGGAGCGAAAGGGAUUAGAUACCCCAGUAGUC
rnacentral:rRNA from 1 species